GGCUCCAGUGUGUGCUUCAGUACAUCGCCACAGAGUUGAGAACUGAACUUUACAGACAUUGAUGUUGAGCUCGAGUGACCAGAGGCUCCGGGGAAUCUUAUUUCUCUGUUGAGCGUCCAGUUACUUGCUUCGUCAUGCUGGCUUCAAUAUCUCAACAUCUCAAGUUGAAUCCUGUGACAGAGGGAGGACUUUCUUUUCAAGAAGAAAACAUUGUAGGCGUAGACGGUACUGAACACUGCCACCUGCAGUCGGACCCAACCUGCAGGCCCAGAGCUAGACACCAGGCCAUCACAAGGAUGGCUGCAAUGAAGUCCACAAACCUAAAAGAUCUUUUCAUUGACUCUGUCUGACCAGUGUAAGGUUUUCCCUAGUUGCAACACUCCACCCAGCGAGGAUGGCCAUGUGGAACCAGACAUCAAAAGAGACAGAGAACGAGAAGAGAGAACAUCUUUUGUGCUGAAGACUCUCGAGAGUCUGUGACCAGUAGAUGGCAGUUUAUUCUAUGGAUGUGUGGUUUGGGUGUGUUUUGUCUGUGGAUCUGGACCUACGCCGGAGUCCUCGCUGGAGUCAUCGCCGGAUUCAGGUAAGGAAAACUUGACAAAAUCCGACCUCCACUUUGAAGUUUGCGUGUGCGAUUCAUCUCUAAGAUAAAUUU